rnacentral:rRNA from 1 species
AGAGUUUGAUCAUGGCUCAGAGCGAACGCUGGCGGCAGGCUUAACACAUGCAAGUCGAGCGGGCGUAGCAAUACGUCAGCGGCAGACGGGAGAGUAACACGUGGGAACGCGCCCUUCGGUUCGGAAUAACUCAGGGAAACUUGAGCUAAUACCGGAUACGCCCUAACGGGGAAAGAUUUAUUGCCGAAGGAACGGCCCGCGUCGGAUUAGCUAGUUGGUGAGGUAAUGGCUCACCAAGGCGACGAUCCGUAGCUGGUCUGAGAGGAUGACCAGCCUCACUGGGACUGAGACACGGCCCAGACUCCUACGGGAGGCAGCAGUGGGGAAUAUUGGACAAUGGGCGCAAGCCUGAUCCAGCCAUGCCGCGUGGAUGAUGAAGGCCCUAGGGUUGUAAAGUCCUUUUAACGGGGAAGAUAAUGACGGUACCCGUAGAAUAAGCCCCGGCUAACUUCGUGCCAGCCGCCGCGGUAAUAC